UACGUAGGGUCCGAGCGUUUGUCCGGAAUUACUGGGCGUAAAGAGCUCGUAGGUGGUUUGUCGCGUUGUUCGUGAAAACUCACAGCUUAACUGUGGGCGUGCGGGCGAUACGGGCAGACUUGAGUACUGCAGGGGAGACUGGAAUUCCUGGUGUAGCGGUGAAAUGCGCAGAUAUCAGGAGGAACACCGAUGGCGAAGGCAGCUCGCUGGGACGGUACUGACGCUGAGGCGCGAAAGCGUGGGGAGCAAACAGG
rnacentral:rRNA from 1 species